UCGGGUUCGGGAUUGGGUUUAGGUUUGGGUUUUCAAGUUUAGGUUUAGGUUUAGGUUAGGGAGUUGAGAUUAGGAUUAGGUGUAGGUUUAGGUUUAGGGAUUUGAGAAUAGGUUAAGGUUUAGGUUUAGGAAAUCGGGUUCGGGUUCGGGAUCGGGUUUAGGUUUGGGUUUUCAAGUUUAGGUUUAGGUUAGGGAGUUGAGAUUAGGAUUAGGUGUAUGCUUAGGUUUAGGGAUUUGAGAAUAAAUU